UGUUCCAUAUCGUUUCGAACCGU
rnacentral:snRNA from 1 species